rnacentral:tRNA from 1 species
GAGGGUCUAGCUCAGUGGUUGAGCGCAUGCUUAGCAUGCUCGAGGUCCUGGGUUCAAUCCCCAGUAUCGCCA